CCUACGGGAGGCUGCAGUGGGGAAUAUUGGACAAUGGGCGAAAGCCUGAUCCAGCCAUGCCGCGUGAGUGAUGAAGGCCCUAGGGUUGUAAAGCUCUUUCACCGGUGAAGAUAAUGACGGUAACCGGAGAAGAAGCCCCGGCUAACUUCGUGCCAGCAGCCGCGGUAAUACGAAGGGGGCUAGCGUUGUUCGGAAUUACUGGGCGUAAAGCGCACGUAGGCGGAUACUUAAGUUAGGGGUGAAAUCCCAAGGCUCAACCUUGGAACUGCCUUUAA
rnacentral:rRNA from 1 species